rnacentral:rRNA from 1 species
UACGAAGGGGACUAGCGUUGUUCGGAAUUACUGGGCGUAAAGCGCACGUAGGCGGAUUUGUUAGUCAGGGGUGAAAUCCCGGGGCUCAACCUCGGAACUGCCUUUGAUACUGCAAAUCUCGAGUCCGAUAGAGGUGGGCGGAAUUCCUAGUGUAGAGGUGAAAUUCGUAGAUAUUAGGAAGAACACCGGUGGCGAAGGCGGCCCACUGGAUCGGUACUGACGCUGAGGUGCGAAAGCGUGGGGAGCAAACAGG